GGGUCCCUUCAGCUUGGUCUCCAGCCCCCCAAAGAAGCCCUUCACGUUCUCCGUGUUCUUCAGCAGCCGCUCGGCAAUGUCCUUCUUCUCUGCCAGCCAGCUGUUGGCGGACUUCAGGGCGGCUGGACAAGGAAGGGGCUGCUCUUCCCUCUGAGGACGGUCCCUAUGCAACUACCAGGGAGUCGGCCAAGAACUAGGAGAGAGGAAGGAGACAGCAGGAGUCACCCCCAUAGAACCAGAAAGCUGUGCAGGGUGCGGUGGCCACGCCUGUAACCCCAGAGGCUGAGGCAGGAGGAUCACAAGUUCAAGACCAGCCUCAGCGACUUAGUGAGGCCCUAAGCAACUACCAGACCCUGUCUCAAAAUAAAAAUGAUAAAGGCUG